CGAUCUAUAGCCGAGUUGAGAGGCUAAUCGGCCACAUUGGAACUGAGACACGGUCCAGACUCCUACGGGAGGCAGCAGCUAAGAAUCUUCCGCAAUGGUUGAGAGACUGACGGAGCGACGCCGCGUGAAUGAUGAAGGCCUUUUAGGUUGUAAAAUUCUUUUAUAAUAGAUGAAAGUAUAGAUAUAGUUUAUGCUGACCGUAUAUUAUGAAUAAGGUCCGGCUAACUACGUGCCAGCAGCCGCGGUAAAACGUAGGGACCUAGCGUUGUUCGGAAUUACUGGGCGUAAAGGGUAUGCAGGCUGUUAUAUAAGUCAGAUGUGAAAGACCCGGGCUCAACCUUGGAAUUGCGUCUGAUACUGUAUAACUUGGGUAGCUGAGAGGAAGUCGGAAUUCCUGGUGUAGGGGUGAAAUCUAUAGAUAUCAGGAAGAACACCAGUAGCGUAGGCGGACUUCUGGCAGCUUACCGACGCUGAGGUACGAAAGGUAGGGUAGCAAACAGGAUUAGAGACCCUGGUAGUCCUACCUGUAAACGUUGUAUACUAGGUGGUGGAAGUUUAAUAUCUUUCUCUGCCGGAGUUAACGCAUUAAGUAUACCGCCUGGGGAGUAUGCCGGCAACGGUGAAACUCAAAGGAAUUGACGGGGCUCCGCACAAGCAGUGGAGCAUGUUGAUUAAUUCGAUGAUAUGCGAGGAACCUUACCAGGUCUUGACAUAUAUCUGACGCACAUAGAGAUAUGUGCUCUCUUCGGAGCAGAUAUACAGGUGCUGCAUGGUUGUCGUCAGCUCGUGCCGUGAGGUGUUGGGUUAAGUCCCGCAACGAGCGCAACCCCUAUUCUUUGUUGCUAACGGGUAAUGCUGAGCACUCGAAGGAAACUGCCGGUGACAAACCGGAGGAAGGUGGGGAUGAGGUCAAAUCAUCACGGCCCUUAUGACCUGGGCUUCAAACGUGCUACAAUGGGUGGUACAAAGAGUAGCCAACCUGUGAAGGGGAGCCAAUCUCAAAAAGCCACCCCAAGUUCGGAUUGGAGUCUGCAACUCGACUCCAUGAAGUUGGAAUUGCUAGUAAUCGCACAUCACCAUGGUGCGGUGAAUAUGUUCCCGGGGCUUGUACACACCGCCCGUCACAUCACCCGAGUUGAAUAUACCCGAAGUAUCCGGGCUAACCCAUUUAGGGGG
rnacentral:rRNA from 1 species